UACAGAGGGUGCGAGCGUUGUUCGGAAUUAUUGGGCGUAAAGGGCGCGUAGGCGGUGCGGUAAGUCACCUGUGAAAUCUCCUGGCUCAACUGGGAGCUUGCAGGCGAAACUGCCGUGCUGGAGUGUGGGAGAGGUGAGUGGAAUUCCCGGUGUAGCGGUGAAAUGCGCAGAUAUCAGGAGGAACACCGGUGGCGAAGGCGGGUCUCUGGGCAAUAACUGACGCUGAGGAGCGAAAGCGUGGGGAGCAAACAGG
rnacentral:rRNA from 1 species